CUGUGUAAGUGAACACCUGGGAGGUGGGCGACCGCUGUGUGUCCGUCGGUCUUGGCUCAUCAGCUUUGCCCUUUGGGUUUUUCAAUGGCAGAAACCUGGAAGUUACAGGCGACUUUAAUUCAAGCAGACCUCCCGCGGCCAGCUGCCUCGGAUAGAGCCUCACGUCUCCGUCUCCUCAUUGAGAAGUUAGCCCCCACCCCUUCCACCUGGUUCUGAGCCCCAAGUCCGAGGUAUUGCAUUUCUGAGCUGCAGUUUCAUUCUCCUUCCUACCUGAAGAGUGACUGAAGAUUUUCAGAUAAACACUACAGGUGAAGAUUGGUAAAAAGAAGCACUGAUUACUGCGGUGGCCUGGAGAGGAAAAGCGCUGACCCUGGUCACCAAUAUCUAAAGAAAGGCAGAAGAAGACCUGAGAAAUAUGUAUUUGGCCUUAAAAGCAGGCAGAAAUGCUACCUCUAGUUUUAACCAUUAUACUUUGAAACCCACAAAUAGAGUGAAUUCUCCCGGUUGCAUGGACAAAGAAAGUUCUUUGAAGUGAGUGAUGUACUAUCUUUCCGUUGCCUUUAGACACUUGGUCAUUCAACUUUCAUUUUAUCUAGUCCCAAGAUCUGAACUGUCCUGUUGUACUUGCAAUCUAGAAACAAAGUAGAAAAAACUCACCAUCCCCAUUUAUACAAGGAUCUGAAGUCAUAAGACUAAGGGACAAAAAGUUUUCUGAAAGUGCAAAACAUAUUUCCAGCUCAUGAAGAAAAAUUUAGGUUUUUGAGUAUACUAAUGACUCAGACAAAAGCAUAGAUGUUGCUGUUUUUCAUUCAUUUUGUAUCUCACAUCAGGAUAUUUUUGCUGCAAAGUCACUCACUGUUUAAAAGGUGUAAUUAAGUAUGUAAGGUAAUACAAUAUUAUGGUGAGAACACAAAGCCAUAGCUACACUAAAUUUUUCAGCAUACAUAGGGAUGUAGACUGGCGAGUUUUAUUACAGCUAAGUAUUUUAACCUCAGGUUUCUCCUGUGCCUGGGCCCCUAUUUCCCAGGGGGGUAGCAGGCACGCCUGUUCAGAUCCAUAUCUAGCUAGAAGUAUAAUCUCUGUUGCCCUGACACUAUGGCAGUAUGGUUUUGUCACCAAGCACCAACCCCUCACUCCUGAAUCAUUUUAACAGAGUAUAUUGUCUUGUAGUAUAGACUUAUCUUGGAAAUAUAUGCUGUAUUAUGUCAAAACAUGGACAAGGAACUACAAGGCUUGCGUAAUCAGUGAGUUAGCAGAUAAACCAAGUUGGAGGCAGGCAGGAAAAAGAACUGGAUAAGCAAAUGUGUACCACGUGUGAUCAUCAUCAAGAUAUAGUUUGGCCUUGAUGACGAGACAGAUGAGAACAUCUUUGAUAGGAUUCCUUCUAUCAUACCUUCAUAUUUAAAUACUGGAUUUACUUCACUUUGAACUUUCAUGAACAGUAAAAGGUCUAUUUGAGAAGGAAGGAACAUAUAAAACAGACGACUGGAAGAAUUAUUAGCUACUGGAAAGGGAGACAUUUGUUCCAACUUCUAUCACAAACACAGAUGAAAUAAGAAUAGUGGUCAAAUCAUAAGGGAAAGGAAACUGGGGGGAAAGAGGGCCCAAGAAACAGCACUCACAUCAGGCUCCAUCAGAAGACACACUGCAAAACAAGUCUCCAAUGUUCUUGACUGAGGGAAGGGACACAGUAGCAAGUUCCUUUCUUUACCACCCUGACAGGUGACCAACUACUGACUCUUUUCUCUCGAGAACAUCCAGGAUAGGCGCAGAUGAGCCGCAGCCAGUGCGACAAAGAACCUGCUGAUGGCAACUGUAAACGAAGAUUCUCACAGGAAGCGUGCAGGUUCCUCACUUACACAGACUCACGUAACCCCGCAAAAGUGCUUCCCUGCUCCCUUCUCCAGUUAAAGGUCUCCUGUGUGCUCUUACCUUUCAGUUACAAGUCUUUGAUCCCAGAGUGCUCCAUUUUCAGUUGCCUUAUCUGUCCUUUGCUAACCACCUAUGGUCAUUAGCACUCAAAGCACAAUUUGGAAGGGGAUAAAAAUGAUCCUAGUUCCAAAGGAAUAAUUUGUGUCAAAUUGCCUUAUUAGUAUUAAAAAUAGACAUACUGCUGAAUGAAUGAGCUAGCAUGACACAUGUAUCCUACUUAAUAUCAUUGCCAUUUUAUGAGAUGAGGGAACUAUACUUUUUUAUUGUAUAGUUUUAGGAAUCAAGUAAAUUCAAGGAAUAGUAGUUAAAAAACAAAGUUCCAACAAAUCUAUUGUUUGCUUAAUCAUAAGGCCCUCACUAUGUAUCUGUGUGGCCAAAUAGAACAUAUCUUCCUUGGGCAAGUGGGCACAAGCUCAGAUGUACUCCCUAUCUCUUACUUUGCAAAACUCACAUUUUGUUAGCUAAUUCUCUUCCUGUAAGACUUAGCUAUGAAAUGGUAUAUUUUUUCCAAAUAUUUUUGAGAAAACAUUUUUUUCUAACUGUACAAUAAAAGUCUAGUUGCAAUUAA